UGGAGAGUUUGAUCCUGGCUCAGAUUGAACGCUGGCGGCAUGCCUUACACAUGCAAGUCGAACGGCAGCAUGAUCUAGCUUGCUAGAUUGAUGGCGAGUGGCGAACGGGUGAGUAAUACAUCGGAACGUGCCCUGUAGUGGGGGAUAACUAGUCGAAAGAUUAGCUAAUACCGCAUACGACCUGAGGGUGAAAGUGGGGGACCGCAAGGCCUCAUGCUAUAGGAGCGGCCGAUGUCUGAUUAGCUAGUUGGUGGGGUAAAGGCCCACCAAGGCGACGAUCAGUAGCUGGUCUGAGAGGACGAUCAGCCACACUGGGACUGAGACACGGCCCAGACUCCUACGGGAGGCAGCAGUGGGGAAUUUUGGACAAUGGGCGAAAGCCUGAUCCAGCAAUGCCGCGUGUGUGAAGAAGGCCUUCGGGUUGUAAAGCACUUUUGUCCGGAAAGAAAUGGCUCUGGUUAAUACCUGGGGUCGAUGACGGUACCGGAAGAAUAAGGACCGGCUAACUACGUGCCAGCAGCCGCGGUA
rnacentral:rRNA from 1 species